CUACUCUAUUGUCUUUAUUCCACCAAAUAUCAUAUCCAGGGCUCUCGACCUCCAUCCAUGUGAAAGAAGAGGAGGAUGCUCUGAAGUUAUGGGGCAAGUCUGCCACAUAAAAUUCCCUUUGAGGAAAUACAAGACUCGAAGAAGAUGAAGUGCAAGAGCAAAGAAGACUAUUUAGAAGGUAAUGUUGUUAUGUUUAGUUCUAGGGUUUGCAAAAAUUCUGUAAUCUCUAUUAUUAAUCAAAGGAGCGGUGAUUUCUCUAUCUAGAGAAAUCACAACUAGACGUAGGCAAAAGUUCAGCCGAACCAGUAUAAUUCUUGUGUGUUUCUAAGUUUUCUAAUAUUUGCUAGUUUAGUCUAUUGCCGUUGGUUACAUUAAAGAACAAGGUCUAGUGUGCGGGUUAUUUAACAAUUGGUAUCAGAGCCAGGUUAAAGGGGUUCUAUGAUGUCUAAAGGGAAGAUGAAUGCAGAUCUAGGACCUGCGUUAAAGCCCUUUGACGACAAUGAUGAAUUCAUGGACUGGCAAAGGAUGAUGAAGAACGUACUGUUACAACAAGAUUUGGAUGAUGUAGCUGUUCGGUUCAUUUUUACACAUGAUUUUUCAUGUUAUUCACCUAUUAUUUUGAGUCAACUUCUUGGCCUGGGAUCAACAUGC